rnacentral:rRNA from 1 species
UACGGGAGGCAGCAGUGGGGAAUAUUGCACAAUGGGCGCAAGCCUGAUGCAGCCAUGCCGCGUGUAUGAAGAAGGCCUUCGGGUUGUAAAGUACUUUCAGUCGUGAGGAAGGUGUUAAGGUUAAUAACCUUAGCAAUUGACGUUAGCGACAGAAGAAGCACCGGCUAACUCCGUGCCAGCAGCCGCGGUAAUACGGAGGGUGCGAGCGUUAAUCGGAAUUACUGGGCGUAAAGGGCACGCAGGCGGUUAAUUAAGUUGGAUGUGAAAUCCCCGGGCUUAACCUGGGAAUGGCAUUCAAGACUGGUUAGCUAGAGUCUUGUAGAGGGGGGUAGAAUUCCAUGUGUAGCGGUGAAAUGCGUAGAGAUGUGGAGGAAUACCGGUGGCGAAGGCGGCCCCUGGACAAAGACUGACGCUCAUGUGCGAAAGCGUGGGGAGCGAAAC